GGGGAUUACGGCAGCGGACACACAGGUGCAGUACGUGGAAAAUACCUCUACCUCUACCUCUAUUACCGCGCGCAGGCGCCUGGCUGAUUUCCUGGCACGGCACGUUACAUUGAUAACGGAGCUGCGCGUUGGGACCUUGACUGGCUCGGUCAACUCUUCCCACCAUGGAGUCGGGAGUCCAGUUGCGGGAGGCGUGCUGUGUUUUGGAGGCUCAAAGUUGAAGCACCAGUCUUGAACACCGGAGGACCUUUUUGAGCUGAUGCUUCCCGCCAUCACCAUGGAAACGGAGGCCAGUCAUAUGCUGGAGGCUGCACUGGAGCAGAUGGACGACAUCAUCGCAGGUUCCAAAGCGGCGGAGUUUUCCAGCAGCGCGUAUGAGCCGCCCUCCCCACUCGGCGCGGCUCCUCUGCAGGUCGUGCAGUUGGCCGAGGACUGAGAGUCGCCCUGGAGCUCCGACCCGACCGGGACGAGAGAGCCGGCCUCAGAGCUCAGCUACCUCGGGCGACGGCACAGAUCCUCGUAGACUGGCUGCAGAGUGGAACU
ensembl:lncRNA